GGUGGAGUGGUGUAGAGGUUAGCACACCCGACCGGACAUUGGGAGGUCCAGAGUUCAAAUCCUGGCUCCGCCG
rfam:Ixodes scapularis strain Wikel colony gcontig_1108379811180, whole genome shotgun sequence.